ACGCUUGAAGUCAGUCACGUUGACCAGGGAUCAACCCUGCUUUUGCUUGGUGCACUUCCUGGUUUGACGGGUCAGCAUCAUUUUUGACCGUUGGAAAAAGAUGAAGGGAAUGUGGCAUCUCCGGAUGUGUUUAUAGCCCUUGGUCACAUACAACGGUUGGGAUUGAGGAACUCAGUGCGCCGCAAGGCCGUGCUUAGGAUGCUGAUAUAAUGGCUUUAAUCGACCCGUCUUGAAACACGGACCAAGGAGUC
rnacentral:rRNA from 1 species